GUACCGCAUGCCACCACCGCGGCUAAAAACGAAGCGGAUGUCGCGUCGCAUAGUGUCAAGUGCCGCGGUUACAUCGUAAAAAUUGUAAUUUUGUUUGCACAUGGUCCCGUUUGGCAGACAUACGUCCAUUUGAUCCUCUCGGAUGGGCUAAGCCUCAGACUUCGUGCCUUGAUUUUUUCAUAAGUGUCAUUUCUCGAAGAUAUCUUUACCUCUGGAUCAUGGUGACUUAAGAUCGGUUUCAAUCGAGUGUUCACAUGCUCUCCUUAUGCUCAGAACCCUUCAGCCGAGUUGAAUUAUUUAUCUCGUGGGGAAACCAACGGAGUUACGCUGCUCAAGUGCAGAUAAUAUGUGAAAAUAAAAUACAGAUAACCUGGAAGUCGAGUGCGACGAUGACGGUCAGUGACAAUCUCGUUUCGUUGCGGGCUGGAUAUUCGUGAAAGCGGGUGCUCGACACUCAUUUUCGUGCGAAGGAUUUCGGUGGCCAGUUUCGAAAAUGGACGGGAACGAUGGACUCAACGCUAGGAUCGUAUUGGACAGCCUGGAUGAGCUGAACUUGCACAAGACCUGCGGCGCGGAAGAGGACUGUCUGCUCUGCGCUGGAAAAGCUCCGAAAUCUCCGGCCACGAUCGUCGGAGGGAUGAAUCGGCAGCCGAAAGCGGGGGCGCAGAUGAAGAAGGUGGCGCCGCCGCAGGUGCCCGAGACGGCGUUCAGGCAUUCCGGAAGCAGCUUCGGCUCGGCCGGUUACGGUAGCGCCGGCGAGGAACCCGUCUUCCACGACGCACCAGUCCAGGUAAGCCCAUCCCUCGAAUAAUUUAACUUCAUAUGAUAAAAUAAUGGAAAAGUAGUAAGUAGUCCCAAAAACAGUAGAAAGCAAAUACAGAACUGAAACUUGAGUUUCAAAAUGAGGAUCCAUCGCCUUCUCCUUCAAGUUGAAACGUAUGCAACACGGACUCCCAGGAGUCGAACUAGUGGUAUCCAAGGGUUAAUUGCCUCAUUCAGCCUUUUG
rnacentral:lncRNA from 1 species